rnacentral:rRNA from 1 species
GAUGAACGCUGGCGGCGUGCCUAAUACAUGCAAGUCGAGCGAACAGACGAGGAGCUUGCUCCUCUGACGUUAGCUGCGUACGGGUGAGUAACACGUGGAUAACCUACCUAUAAGUCUGGGAUAACUUCGUGAAACCGGAGCUAAUACCGGAUAAUAUAUUAAACCGCAUGGUUCAAUAGUGAAAUACGGUUUUGCUGUCACUUAUAGAUGGAUCCGCGCCGCAUUAGAUAGUUGGUAAGGUAACGGCUUACCAAGGCAACGAUGCGUAGCCGACCUGAGAGGGUGAUCGGCCACACUGGAACUGAGACACGGUCCAGACUCCUACGGGAGGCAGCAGUAGGGAAUCUUCCGCAAUGGGCGAAAGCUUGACGGAGCAAAGCCGCGUGAGUGAUGAAGGUCUUCGGAUCGUAAAACGCUGUUAUUAGGGAAGAACAAAUGUGUAAGUAACUAUGCACGUCUUGACGGUACCCAAUCAGAAAGCCACGGCUAACUACGUG